AAUUAAAGGCUGGUGGCUUGCAAGACUAUAGAUCAACCGGAGUCGUGAAUCAGCCGCCCUGGGACUUUUCUAGGCCGGCUGAUUCAUGAGACUAGAUAACCGCAUGUGCACGAAUCACUACUAGCAUUGGUGCAUAGAUACAAUAUCUAUGAUUGAUGUCACGAUUUGAUUUUAUGUUGAAAAUGAGUUCGAGACAAAAGUGAAUUAAACUUAAUGUGGAAAACUUAAUGUGGAAAAACAAAGGCAGACAUGUAAAACCGAAUGUCCAUUCGCAAAAGUUUAGUUCUGAGUUAUGGAGCGCCAUAGAGGACAAAAUUCAUGUCUAAGAAUUCAUUGUACAUCAUAAUUUGAUGACAACUCUUCACCAUUUACAGGUUGUAGUUCUGGCUCUAUGCAGACGUCACUACAGAUUUCAGUGAUACAACCACCCUUAGGGCAUGACAGAGCAUGAUCGACUGAGAAUUGUUUACCGCAUGCACAAGAUCCUGAUGGUUGCCAACUGUAGCGAAGUGAGAGGGCAUCUCCUUUGUGUAAGACAAAUCCAAAUUCUUGGAUGGGGAGGGAGGUGAGCCAAUUAGAAUUAAGUGUCUUUCUCUUGUGCUAGGUCCAUAUAGAUCUUUGUAAAGUGGUAGAAAGGGAUUGCCAACGUGGUCACGGGAUAACUUACAGCAUGACAUUACAGAGAUAGAGAAACAGCUGCAUGGAAAAAAAAAACAUCAUUAUGUGGCAGUUUCUGCAUGGGCAAAUUAGGUGGUAGGAGGACGUAAUACGGUACACAUAAAAUUUCAUAGAUAUUAAGUUAAGUAUAUUGCCCUACUUUAUGUUUUAUACUGUUGAUGAUGUUGACAGGUCCAGCACGUAAGCCGGGAGGAAAUUCCAUAUUCUGUUGAGAGAUUAGAAGUGUAAUUGGCUUUCCCCCUUGUCACGUAAAGUUUCUUUCCAGGCUUCCCUGCUCUUGUUUUCGUUAUAACGCGAAUGAUAUAAGUUGAGUGAUGGAAUUUGGAGCGAUUUCAAACAUUUGACGAGGAUGUCUUGUAAUUCCAGUGGCUUACAGUUUGUGUUCUCGGUUUACAUCUGGCAUGAUGCAUUGCUGGUCUCAUCAUUUUAGUUUCUCGGUAUUCUAUAAAAGCCACUCGAUUCUUCGGUAGAAACUCUGUUGCUGUUUUGUCCACUCUGAUCCUGCUAUCUUACGGGAAGCUGUUCAGGAGUUUGACGUCAUUGGGUAACAAGCAGGCGCCCUCGUGCAAUAUAUGGCAUGUUGCACUCAUGCUGGGCAUUAACUAUAACUAUAAUACAUGCAUACUCUGUUAUUAUGUUUGCUUAGGCAUGUGGUAAACUUUGACUUCCUCCGUCAUAUCAAAGACUAUGUCCACCAGACACCGGAAAUCUCUAAACUGGCUAUAAAAAUUAUAUACUAGACCACAAAACAUAGCCCAACGAAUCCUUAGUGAAUAUCACUGUAUAUAUAAAUGUGCUUAUUUUGCAUUGUAACUCCUAGCUAAGUUUAUGACUGCCUCAAGUUUUAUGUUUGUGUUCACCUCUUAUAGUGGUGUAGUCUAUUGCUCAGUCAUCAUGAUGUACCCCCCUCCCCCCCCCCCCCCCCAACACACACACACACAAGCGUACGGGAAAGUCUCUCUCGUUCAUCACUCGGGAUAACUGGCAAUGGGCUCGAGAGUUGACUGGGAUAUUGUCAGACGCUGGACAGGAGGUCCCUGAUGAGCUCGUCUCAAUGGCAGAACGGUACGAGUCUUGGAAGAAGAAGAGGGAACUAGAGAGGGACAAUGUCCCUAGAGGCGGAGGGGGCAGAGGAGGCGGAAGGUCAAGAGGAGAGGGCGGGGGAAGAUCUGGCCGAGGAUGGAACUGAACAAUAAUUAUCUCUUAAUAAGAACAAUUCAUUUAUUCAAUUCUUGCACAAUAUUUUAAUCAUUAAUUUGUGUAUCUA